rnacentral:rRNA from 1 species
UACGAGGGGAGCAAGCGUUGUUCGGAUUUACUGGGCGUAAAGGGCGCGUAGGCGGCGUGACAAGUCAGUUGUGAAAUCUCCGGGCUUAACCCGGAACGGUCAAGUGAAACUGUCGUGCUAGAGUACAGAAGGGGCAACUGGAAUUCUCGGUGUAGCGGUGAAAUGCGCAGAUAUCAGGAGGAACACCGGUGGCGAAGGCGGGUCUCUGGGCCGUAACUGACGCUGAGGAGCGAAAGCGUGGGGAGCGAACAGG